GUGCUCCCUUGGGCAGCACAUAGACUAAAAUUGGAACGAUAUAGAGAAGAUUAGCAUGACCCCUAGGCAAGGAUGACACACAAGUUCAUGAAGUGUUCCAUAUUUAU
rnacentral:snRNA from 1 species